rnacentral:rRNA from 1 species
UACGUAGGGGGCGAGCGUUGUCCGGAUUUAUUGGGCGUAAAGAGCUCGUAGGCGGCUUGGCAAGUCGGGUGUGAAACCUCCAGGCUCAACCUGGAGACGCCACUCGAUACUGCUAUGGCUAGAGUCCGGUAGGGGACCACGGAAUUCCUGGUGUAGCGGUGAAAUGCGCAGAUAUCAGGAGGAACACCGGUGGCGAAGGCGGCAUUCUGGACCGAUAUUGACGCUGAGGAGCGAAAGCCAGGGAGCAAACGGG